rnacentral:rRNA from 1 species
GAUGAACGCUGGCGGCGUGCUUAACACAUGCAAGUCGAACGAUGAAAGCGGGAGCUUGCUCCUGCUGGAUUAGUGGCGAACGGGUGAGUAACACGUGAGUAACCUGCCCUUGACUCUGGGAUAAGCGUUGGAAACGACGUCUAAUACCGGAUACGACCUUCGGAGGCAUCUCCUGGGGGUGGAAAGAAUUUCGGUCAAGGAUGGACUCGCGGCCUAUCAGCUAGUUGGUGAGGUAAUGGCUCACCAAGGCGACGACGGGUAGCCGGCCUGAGAGGGUGACCGGCCACACUGGGACUGAGGCACGGCCCAGACUCCUACGGGAGGCAGCAGUGGGGAAUAUUGCACAAUGGGCGCAAGCCUGAUGCAGCAACGCCGCGUGAGGGACGACGGCCUUCGGGUUGUAAACCUCUUUUAGUAGGGAAGAAGCGAAAGUGACGGUACCUGCAGAAAAAGCACCGGCUAACUACGUGCCAGCAGCCGCCGUAAUAC